rnacentral:lncRNA from 1 species
GUCAUUGACAUUUUAUUUUACCUCUUCUCUGCUAAGAGAGUGAAUGACUCAUUUAGAAGUUAAAAAAUACUUGAACUGCUUAAAAUAUUGAUGUUCUCAGUGCCAUAACUUGGAAGAGGAGGCUUUUAAAUGAUGUCUGCAAAGAUGCCACAUCUUUUGAGUAGCAGGAGAGUGUCUGUUGGAGGGAGUCAGUCUCAAUGGGAAGUCAUCUCAGAAAGCGUCUCCAAGGAGCUGUGGCUUCUGACUCAUGGCUACCCUGUGGAAGGGGCUUUGGGGGGUGUAGGGGGGAGGUUAAUCUGCAGCCUGUGCUCCCUGGCCAAGCAGAAACUUAGUGCUAGAAUUUUCUGGGGUAUUCCUUUUUAAUUAUUGUUAAGGAAAAGUGUCGCAUUUUGGAUUUUCCAAGAAACUUACAAGGGGCCUUUUGGGUUCCUGAUUUCUUUUUUCUUUUUUUAAUAUUUUUUUUUAUUACGUAUUUUCCUCAACUACAUUUCCAAUGCUAUGCCAAAAGCAGCGUCUAGAACAAAUGUCCGAGUUCUCAGCUAGCACUCAUUUAUCCUGCCUUGACAUCUAAACCUGUGUUUUUGUGACCCAGUAUCUGUGGGUUCCAGCAGAAAGUCCCUGUGUCUGUCUCGUCUGACAGGACUGGUCAGAGUCUACUUCCUUUCUCAGAUCAGAUGGAGUCCAUUCUCCACUGCCCGCAAAACAAAAACAAGGAGAAAGACUGUAGGAUCCCUCCCCGGAGCCCCAGUCAAUCGCUUUCUCCCAGGCUGCCUUUCUUUUCUCUGGAUCCCGUCUGCUUCAGCAGCACAGCAUCCUGGCUUCGCCAGUCUUUCUCACUGAGAGGCAACGUUCGACCCUAUGUUGGAAUGUCUGAAACCAGAAGCUCUGUAGCAUUUUGAACUUGUGCUCCUAAGUGAAAGGGCCAAAUGGCAACACACAUGACUUUGCAGUUCACACUCCAUAUCCUUCAGGCAAAGAAAGAGAAGAAUUUAGCUCUGUUCAGUUUACAUAGAACAUAAUGGUUUAGCUCUUUGGAAAAGAUAACAGUGUAAACAGAAAACAAUUCCCCGGGAAGUAGACCAUACAUUGAUUGAGUCAAGUGGACAUAGCAUGGAAUCAAGCCUGUUAGGAGCAGAAAAUCCCCAGGUUUUGCAUUGCUGAUAAGCAUAAUUACCUGAGAAUGUUCACACACAAGAAACAGACAGGAUGGGAAUGUAUGUGAUUGGCCAGAAAGAGCUGUGUAAUUGUAUGCAAUUAAAUUCACUAUUUCUUGGGACCCCAAGCACAUAGAUAAAGGGUUUUUAAUCCUUAGACUGCUCUUUGCUCUAUAACCUUUAGGUGUGAUCCUGGAGCUCUAGUAACAGAUACCUUGUUUGAUCUUUAACAAAUAAAGAGCGUAUUUCCUCCUUUCUGAGGGCAAGGGUUACCCUUUGCAACUGAAGUAACCAAAAAGUAAAUAAAUAAGUCAGUGUUCUCCGGAAGACAUAUAGUGUGAGCUGCACUAGGUCCCUGCAGAAACAAUUUUAAAAUAUUUAAAUUCCUUUAAAACGUAUACCAGUCAAUCAAUCAAUUAAUCAAUAGAUGAGAUGUUGGUAGGAGUUGCUUUUGAAACUAGCAGGACAACUGAGACCAUUGUUUCUGACCAAGGUUUGUUGAGGUCUUUUAACAUGGACCACUGCGUUUGAUUUUUAGUGUAGCUGUAUUUCUAGCUGAAGAAUUUAGUCUUAAACUGUGUUAAGUUUCUUUCUGAACCAAAGCUUUGGAAAUUCUUAUAUACGUAAUAGAAAAGUGCUAGUUGGGGUUCAUUUUCUACCAGACAUAAAGAUAGAACAUAUUUUUAGUCAUAAUAAUGAGAGAGUGCUCUUAGCCUGUAAGUUCUGUCAACUUGUUUGUGGUCUCUGCUAUGCUCAAUGUGAACAGGGGAGAAAGAUGACUUGCAGUGAGCAGCUAGCUAGCCCUGAUCAUCAGAAAAGCCUGCUUGCCAGCAUUGGUUUUGGAAAAGAUGGAGAAUUCUUCCUAGUGGGGGGAUCUUUAACUCUGAGAGCAAAUUGGGAGACAACCAUGGGGGAAUGGUGACAAAUAUGGGGAACUAAAAGGUGAGUGGACAGAGACAGACAAAUAUGCCACAAGCUUUGGGUUAGG